ACACACUUAGUUUAAUUUUAAAAAAUGGAAGUUUGUCGUACUUCGGAUGUUCUUUUACAUGACAGUGUGUU
rnacentral:tRNA from 1 species